rnacentral:lncRNA from 1 species
GUUAAUGGCAUAUCCCUUCCACUGAUCUCACUUACCUAGCCAACCUGGUGAGUUAGGUUUUGAUUAGAUCACUUGGUGAUUAGGGCUCACCCAUGUCAUUAGAUAAAUUAGUGUGACUGAUUUAGGUGCUCCUAAUGCCGGCUUUAAUUAAAUUCUUUUUAAUCUGACUUGGUGAAGUCACUAGGAGGAUUUAAAUUGGCUGGUUAAUUUUUUCUCUUCUAUCCUUUAAUAAAAUCCUCAAAAAUUAUUAGGUCCCUAAAAAUAAUUAAGUUAUAGUGAUA